rnacentral:lncRNA from 1 species
GUCUCUUUGUGCACCCGCCCACACGGUUUGCCGUGUUUUCACCCUUCUUUGUUCUCCACCGGUCUGGGCAGGGUCUGAGGACUCCGGAGAGCAAGGCAUGGGUCCGCCUCGUGCCGCAGGGUGAGCUCUGAGGACUUCACAGGGGCCCCAUCCCCUCACCUAGAUGAGGGCUAACCUUGGAAUCCAGACAAAGGUGGAAGUGACCUAGAUGUGACCUGAAUGAGCUAAUCAUCUAAUGAGAGCCAGCCCUUUGUCCUGCCCACAUGAAGGGCUUUGCUGCUACGCACUGACAAGUUGGACGGCUUUUUAUUGCUUUGUUGCCAGUUAUCUGAACAUGAGAGGCUGUAAGGUGUAAUCUGCGAGCCCUGCGCCCAGACUGAACCAGGGCCUCCCUUGAACAUGAGUAUUAGACAAAUGAAAUAAGAACUUAUCUUGCCCAGACUAUAUAAUGGCUUGGAAAUGCAUAGUUUCCUGAACGAUCUCAAUAAAAUACUUUUAAAAGUA